rnacentral:hammerhead_ribozyme from 1 species
AUCCAGUUGACGAGUACCAAACAGAACGAAACGCGCGUCUUGGAU